rnacentral:rRNA from 1 species
UACGUAGGGGGCUAGCGUUGUCCGGAAUCAUUGGGCGUAAAGAGCGCGUAGGCGGCCAGAUAAGUCCGGUGUGAAAGUCACAGGCUCAACCUGUGAAUGCCGCUGGAAACUGUCUGGCUAGAGUCCGGAAGGGGCGAGUGGAAUUCCUGGUGUAGCGGUGAAAUGCGCAGAUAUCAGGAAGAACACCCGUGGCGAAGGCGGCUCUCUGGGACGGUACUGACGCUGAGACGCGAAAGCGUGGGGAGCGAACAGG